UACGUAGGGUGCGAGCGUUGUCCGGAAUUACUGGGCGUAAAGAGCUCGUAGGUGGUUUGUCGCGUUGUCCGUGAAAUUCCCUGGCUUAACUGGGGGCGUGCGGCGAUACGGGCAGACUGGGGUACUGCAGGGGAGACUGGAAUUCCUGGUGUAGCGGUGGAAUGCGCAGAUAUCAGGAGGAACACCGGUGGCGAAGGCGGGU
rnacentral:rRNA from 1 species